UACAGAGGUCUCAAGCGUUGUUCGGAUUCAUUGGGCGUAAAGGGUGUGUAGGUGGCGCCGUAAGUCGGGUGUGAAAUUUCGGAGCUUAACUCCGAAACUGCAUUCGAUACUGCAGUGCUUGAGGACUGGAGAGGAGACUGGAAUUCAUGGUGUAGCAGUGAAAUGCGUAGAGAUCAUGAGGAAGACCAGUGGCGAAGGCGGGUCUCUGGACAGUUCCUGACGCUGAGGCACGAAGGUCAGGGGAGCAAACGGG
rnacentral:rRNA from 1 species